UACGUAGGGACCAAGCGUUGUUCGGAUUUACUGGGCGUAAAGGGCGCGUAGGCGGCAAUUCAAGUCAUCUGUGAAAUCUACAGGCUCAACUUGUAGUCUGCAUGAGAAACUGCCGGGCUUGAGUAUGGGAGAGGUGAGUGGAAUUCCUGGUGUAGCGGUGAAAUGCGUAGAUAUCAGGAGGAACACCUGUGGCGAAAGCGGCUCACUGGACCAUAACUGACGCUGAUGCACGAAAGCUAGGGGAGCAAACAGG
rnacentral:rRNA from 1 species